rnacentral:rRNA from 1 species
AGAGUUUGAUCCUGGCUCAGGACGAACGCUGGCGGCGUGCUUAACACAUGCAAGUCGAGCGGUAAGGCCCUUUCGGGGGUACACGAGCGGCGAACGGGUGAGUAACACGUGGGUGACCUGCCCUCCACUCUGGGAUAAGCCCGGGAAACUGGGUCUAAUACCGGAUAGGACCACUGAUCGCAUGGUUGGUGGUGGAAAGUUUUUUCGGUGGGGGAUGGGCCCGCGGCCUAUCAGCUUGUUGGUGGGGUGAUGGCCUACCAAGGCGGUGACGGGUAGCCGGCCUGAGAGGGCGACCGGCCACACUGGGACUGAGACACGGCCCAGACUCCUACGGGAGGCAGCAGUGGGGAAUAUUGCGCAAUGGGCGGAAGCCUGACGCAGCGACGCCGCGUGGGGGAUGACGGCCUUCGGGUUGUAAACCUCUUUCGCCAGGGACGAAGAGCAAUUGACGGUACCUGGAGAAGAAGCACCGGCCAACUACGUGCCAGCAGCCGCGGUAACACGUAGGGUGCGAGCGUCGUCCGGAAUUAUUGGGCGUAAAGAGCUCGUAGGCGGUGUGUCGCGUCGGCCGUGAAAACUUGGGGCUUAACUCUGAGCGUGCGGUCGAUACGGGCAUCACUUGAGUUCGGCAGGGGAGACUGGAAUUCCUGGUGUAGCGGUGAAAUGCGCAGAUAUCAGGAGGAACACCGGUGGCGAAGGCGGGUCUCUGGGCCGAUACUGACGCUGAGGAGCGAAAGCGUGGGGAGCGAACAGGAUUAGAUACCCUGGUAGUCC